rnacentral:rRNA from 1 species
GAUAAACGCUGGCGGCGUGCCUAACACAUGCAAGUCGAACGCCCUUUUGUCGCAAGUGAGAGGGAGUGGCGGACGGGUGAGUACCACGUGGGUACCGUACCUUGAGGUGAGGAAUACCACCGAGAAAUACGGUGACAAGACCGCAUACGCUUGGCAACAAGCAAAGUCUCGCAAGAGACGCCACAAGAUGGGCCUGCGCCUGAUUAGCUAGUUGGUGAGGUAAUGGCNCACCAA